GGGUUGUGAGGUUAAGCGACUAAGCGUACACGGUGGAUGCCCUGGCAGUCAGAGGCGAUGAAGGGCGUGCUAAUCUGCGAUAAGCGCCGGUAAGGUGAUAUGAACCGUUAUAACCGGCGAUACCCGAAUGGGGAAACCCAGUGUGAUUCGUCACACUAUCAUUAACUGAAUCCAUAGGUUAAUGAGGCGAACCGGGGGAACUGAAACAUCUAAGUACCCCGAGGAAAAGAAAUCAACCGAGAUUCCCCCAGUAGCGGCGAGCGAACGGGGAGGAGCCCAGAGCCUGAAUCAGCAUGUGUGUUAGUGGAAGCGUCUGGAAAGGCGCGCGAUACAGGGUGACAGCCCCGUACACAAAAGCGCAUGUGCUGUGAGCUCGAUGAGUAGGGCGGGACACGUGGUAUCCUGUCUGAAUAUGGGGGGACCAUCCUCCAAGGCUAAAUACUCCUGACUGACCGAUAGUGAACCAGUACCGUGAGGGAAAGGCGAAAAGAACCCCGGCGAGGGGAGUGAAAAAGAACCUGAAACCGUGUACGUACAAGCAGUGGGAGCCCCACCACUAAGCCAGUGGUGAACUCCACAUACGCAUCCUUUGCUGAGGAUACGGUUAACGGAGCGAAAGCGACGUUCAACCUCAAAAGAAGCAGAGGGGGCUUAGUGGUGGGGUGACUGCGUACCUUUUGUAUAAUGGGUCAGCGACUUAUAUUCUGUAGCAAGGUUAACCGAAUAGGGGAGCCGGAGGGAAACCGAGUCUUAAUUGGGCGUUAAGUUGCAGGGUAUAGACCCGAAACCCGGUGAUCUAGCCAUGGGCAGGUUGAAGGUUGGGUAACACUAACUGGAGGACCGAACCGACUAAUGUUGAAAAAUUAGCGGAUGACCUGUGGCUGGGGGUGAAAGGCCAAUCAAACCGGGAGAUAGCUGGUUCUCCCCGAAAGCUAUUUAGGUAGCGCCUCGUGAAUUCAUCUCCGGGGGUAGAGCACUGUUUCGGCUAGGGGGCCAUCCCGGCUUACCAACCCGAUGCAAACUGCGAAUACCGGAGAAUGUUAUCACGGGAGACACACGGCGGGUGCUAACGUCCGUCGUGAAGAGGGAAACAACCCAGACCGCCAGCUAAGGUCCCAAAGUCAUGGUUAAGUGGGAAACGAUGUGGGAAGGCCCAGACAGCCAGGAUGUUGGCUUAGAAGCAGCCAUCAUUUAAAGAAAGCGUAAUAGCUCACUGGUCGAGUCGGCCUGCGCGGAAGAUGUAACGGGGCUAAACCAUGCACCGAAGCUGCGGCAGCGAACGUAUCACCCAAGACAACUUUACGGAGUUGACGAUUGACGGAGCGAAGCGACGUCAAAGCGUUCAUUAAAGUCGAGUUGGCUUAGGGAUACGUUCGUUGGGUAGGGGAGCGUUCUGUAAGCCUGUGAAGGUGGCCUGUGAGGGUUGCUGGAGGUAUCAGAAGUGCGAAUGCUGACAUAAGUAACGAUAAAGCGGGUGAAAAGCCCGCUCGCCGGAAGACCAAGGGUUCCUGUCCAACGUUAAUCGGGGCAGGGUGAGUCGACCCCUAAGGCGAGGCCGAAAGGCGUAGUCGAUGGGAAACGGGUUAAUAUUCCCGUACUUGGUGUUACUGCGAAGGGGGGACGGAGAAGGCUAUGUUGGCCGGGCGACGGUUGUCCCGGUUUAAGCGUGUAGGUGUGUGUUCCAGGUAAAUCCGGUUCACUUUAACACUGAGGCGUGAUGACGAGGCACUACGGUGCUGAAGCAACAAAUGCCCUGCUUCCAGGAAAAGCCUCUAAGCAUCAGGUAACAUCAAAUCGUACCCCAAACCGACACAGGUGGUCAGGUAGAGAAUACCAAGGCGCUUGAGAGAACUCGGGUGAAGGAACUAGGCAAAAUGGUGCCGUAACUUCGGGAGAAGGCACGCUGACACGUAGGUGAAGUGAUUUACUCAUGGAGCUGAAGUCAGUCGAAGAUACCAGCUGGCUGCAACUGUUUAUUAAAAACACAGCACUGUGCAAACACGAAAGUGGACGUAUACGGUGUGACGCCUGCCCGGUGCCGGAAGGUUAAUUGAUGGGGUCAGCGCAAGCGAAGCUCCUGAUCGAAGCCCCGGUAAACGGCGGCCGUAACUAUAACGGUCCUAAGGUAGCGAAAUUCCUUGUCGGGUAAGUUCCGACCUGCACGAAUGGCGUAAUGAUGGCCAGGCUGUCUCCACCCGAGACUCAGUGAAAUUGAACUCGCUGUGAAGAUGCAGUGUACCCGCGGCAAGACGGAAAGACCCCGUGAACCUUUACUAUAGCUUGACACUGAACAUUGAGCCUUGAUGUGUAGGAUAGGUGGGAGGCUUUGAAGUGUGGACGCCAGUCUGCAUGGAGCCGACCUUGAAAUACCACCCUUUAAUGUUUGAUGUUCUAACGUGGACCCGUUACCCGGGUUGCGGACAGUGUCUGGUGGGUAGUUUGACUGGGGCGGUCUCCUCCUAAAGAGUAACGGAGGAGCACGAAGGUUGGCUAAUCCUGGUCGGACAUCAGGAGGUUAGUGCAAUGGCAUAAGCCAGCUUGACUGCGAGCGUGACGGCGCGAGCAGGUGCGAAAGCAGGUCAUAGUGAUCCGGUGGUUCUGAAUGGAAGGGCCAUCGCUCAACGGAUAAAAGGUACUCCGGGGAUAACAGGCUGAUACCGCCCAAGAGUUCAUAUCGACGGCGGUGUUUGGCACCUCGAUGUCGGCUCAUCACAUCCUGGGGCUGAAGUAGGUCCCAAGGGUAUGGCUGUUCGCCAUUUAAAGUGGUACGCGAGCUGGGUUUAGAACGUCGUGAGACAGUUCGGUCCCUAUCUGCCGUGGGCGCUGGAGAACUGAGGGGGGCUGCUCCUAGUACGAGAGGACCGGAGUGGACGCAUCACUGGUGUUCGGGUUGUCAUGCCAAUGGCACUGCCCGGUAGCUAAAUGCGGAAGAGAUAAGUGCUGAAAGCAUCUAAGCACGAAACUUGCCCCGAGAUGAGUUCUCCCUGAGACUUAGAGUCUCCUGAAGGAACGUUGAAGACGACGACGUUGAUAGGCCGGGUGUGUAAGCGCAGCGAUGCGUUGAGCUAACCGGUACUAAUGAACCGUGAGGCUUAACCUUACAACGCCGAAG
rnacentral:rRNA from 1 species